GGGCGAGUGGCGGAAUGGCAGACGCGAUAGACUCAAAAUCUAUUGAUCGCAAGAUCGUGGGGGUUCAAGUCCCCCCUCGCCCACCA
rnacentral:tRNA from 1 species